CAGUAGCCGCGGUAACACGAAGGGUGCAAGCGUUACUCGGAAUUACUGGGCGUAAAGCGUGCGUAGGUGGUGGUUUAAGUCCGUUGUGAAAGCCCUGGGCUCAACCUGGGAAUUGCAGUGGAUACUGGGUCACUAGAGUGUGGUAGAGGAUAGUGGAAUUUCCGGUGUAGCAGUGAAAUGCGUAGAGAUCGGAAGGAACAUCUGUGGCGAAGGCGACUAUCUGGGCCAACACUGACACUGAGGCACGAAAGCGUGGGGAGCAAACAGGAUCAGAUACCCGCGUAGUCCCUGUCUCUUAUAC
rnacentral:rRNA from 1 species